UACGGGGGGAGCAAACGUUGUUCGGAAUCACUGGGCGUAAAGGGCGUGUAGGCGGCUGAAUAAGUGGGAUGUUAAAUCCCCCGGCUCAACCGGGGACCUGCAUCUCAUACUGUUCAGCUCGAGCACAUCAGAGGAGACUGGAAUUCCCGGUGUAGCGGUGAAAUGCGUAGAUAUCGGAAGGAACAUCAGUGGCGAAGGCGACUUCCUGGACCAAUACUGACGCUCAGGUGCGAAAGCGUGGGGAGCAAACAGG
rnacentral:rRNA from 1 species